rnacentral:rRNA from 1 species
GCUUACGGCCACACCUCCUGAGCACCGCCCGAUCUCGUCUGAUCUCGGAAGCUAAGCAGGGUCGGCCCGGUUAGUACUUGGAUGGGAGACCGCCUGGGAAUACCAGGUCUGUAAGCC